UAAAAUCUGGAGCCACGGAGUUCACUUUUCUAUAGAAGACAAAGCUGAGCAUGCUCAGUGGCCAAGGCAAAGUUUGGUCGGAAACUAGUUUUUGCAUUAGACUCUCCAUGGGCUCCAUAGACUCUCCUGUACCUUACGACUAGGCACAGGAGCGUUUCCCCGGUGAAAUGGAGAAGAGGACACUUGGUCUUUUCAACUUUACUAGGAGGGCUCCUUUCUUCCCAGUCCAAACAUAUGAAGCUCAUUUCUGCCACCCUUCCUAGAAAACUGGUUCCUGACAGAGACAUGUGGAAAGGUAAGUAAACCUGGGCCCAAGAUCACAGAGCACACAGCUGGAAUUCACAGCAAGACCUGAUUGACUUCGAAGUCAGUGGUCUUUCCCCUGCUUCCCACGAGACAGGUUACUACAUGAAGAGCUGGGACUGGAAUACAGGUUUUCUAUGUUCACCUGGGGAUAGCUUUUCCAUCAUCCCUCCUGAGUCUGUGAGGUAUCC
rnacentral:lncRNA from 10 species